GAUGAACGCUAGCGGCAGGCCUAACACAUGCAAGUCGAGGGGCAGCACAGAAACAGCAAUGUUUUGGUGGCGACCGGCGGACGGGUGCGUAACGCGUAUGCAACCUACCUUUAACAGGGGGAUAACGGAGAGAAAUUUCCACUAAUACCCCAUAACAUCGAUCAAGGCAUCUUGAUUGGUUGAAAACUCCGGUGGUUAAAGAUGGGCAUGCGUUGUAUUAGGUAGUUGGUGAGGUAAUGGCUCACCAAGCCUACGAUACAUAGUGGGACUGAGAGGUUAGCCCCCCACACUUGUACUGAGACACGGACCAGACUCCUACGGGAGGCAGCAGUGAGGAAUAUUGGUCAAUGGGGACAACCCUGAACCAGCCAUGCCGCGUGCAGGAAGACGGCUCUAUGAGUUGUAAACUGCUUUUAAACAGGGAUAAAGCACAGUAUGUAUACUGUGUUGAAGGUACUGUAAGAAUAAGGAUCGGCUAACUCCGUGCCAGCCGCCGCGGUAA
rnacentral:rRNA from 1 species